GUCUGCACUUGUCGGGGAAGGGUGAGAACCUUCGAUUAAGGUUCGACUCGAGCGAAAGCGAGAGAACGUUGCCAACGGCAACGGCCCGUAGGGU
rnacentral:sRNA from 1 species